AAAUAUAAAAAUAUAACAUCAAAAAAACAUUAUAUUAUAUAUCUAUAAUACAUGUAUAUUAUAAAAAAAAAAUACAUGUAUAUUAUAUAAAUAAUCUAUAUGUAAAUGAUUUAGAGAAAUUAUUUGUAUAUAAAUUAUUUUUUGGACGAAUUAUAGAAAAUUUUGAUGAAUUAUAUCUGAAUUAUCUUAUAUUAGUGUUUUCUUUUUGAUGAAUUAUAAUUUCUUUUUGGACGAAUUAGGGUUAGGGUUAGAGUUUAAUUGACAAAACUAAUUAUUAUUUAAAAAAUAGUUAAUCUUCAUAUUGAUGUAAGAAACAUUCCUUAUAUUAUACAUAAUUAGUGGUUGCUAUUAAUAUGUAAUAUUUGUUUCCAUUACCUAAUAAAAUACAUUAAUAUCGUUGAUUCACCCCUUAAAAUGUAGGAUUAAUUUCAGUUUACCCCCAUCAACUUUAGGUCGAUCAUCAUGUUAGUCAUUCUUCUUUCAAUUUCAUCAAAAACACCCCUCAACUCCCAAUUUUCAUCAGCCGCGCAUGUCCAAACCUUCAAUCUCCAUCCAAUUCCUCUGUCAAGUGAUGACUUGAUAUCAAAAAGAAAGAAAAAAAGGAAAAAUAGACAAAUUGCAUUCAAUCCCACCAAAAUCAUUAAGGUUAGGGGGUUGUGAUUGGAACGAAGAUGUGUAUCAAUAUGGGGGAAAAAUGGGCCGAAAUGUAACUUUCAGAAUUUGACUUUCUUCUUGAUAUCAAGUCAUCACUUGACAGAGGAAUUAGAUGGAGAUUAGAGGUUUGGACAUGCGUAGCUGAUGAAAAUUGGGAGUUGAGGGAUGUUUUUGAUGAAAUUGAAAGAAGAAGGACUAACAUGAUGAUCGACUUAAAGUUGAUGGGGAUAAACUGAAAUUAGCCCUGUAAAAGGAAAUAGAAAUGGUAAAAUUGGUAAUGCAAUGUUUUGAUUUGGCAAGAUAUAUUAUGUGGAAUCGAAAAUAAAUAUUUUUAUUUACUUACAUGACAUGACACAUAAGAUUAAGGCCACAAAUUUUAGGCCUUAUUAAGACCCUCUAGCGCUACUCUACUAAUAACUACACAUUUAUAUUAUUAUUAAGAGGAAAUUUUGAAAUCGCCAGGGGAGAUAUAUCCGUUUAGGUUAGUAAAACGGGUAGGGGAGAUAUAUCUCCAAUAUAUAUAUAUAUAUACAGAUUUUCUUAGGUGCGGAUGUCCGCAUUUAUUCUUACGGUGCGGAUUUCCACUUUACACUGACUUUUCAAUCGAAUUUUUACAUCUCCAUCGUCUAGUAUUUAGAUACUAAUGUAUAAAUCAUCUCUGCAAAAUUUCAGCCAAUUUGGUUAUCAUUAAGGCACUCAAACUGCAUUUUUCAGUAGAUGAACAUAAUUCUGUCGAACUUAAACAGUUUAUGUUUAUAACAAAAAAACGCAGUUUUGAGUGCCUUAAUGAUAACCAAAUUGGCUGAAAUUUUGCAUAGAUGAUCUAUACAUUGAUAACCAAUUGGCUGAAAUUUUGCAUAGAUGAUCUAUACAUUAGUAUCUAAAUACUAGGCGGUGGAGAUGUGAAAAUUCGAUUGAAAAGUGAGUGUAAAGUGGAAAUCCGCACCGUAAGAAUAAAUGUGAACAUCUGCAGUUGAGAAGCGUUAUAUAUAUAUAUAUACAGUUCGGAUCAGAGGAGGACGUCCGCACGCCCUUAAAGUGCGGACGUCCCUCCAUUCGCCACCGUACGACGCCGGCGAGGGCGCGUCUCCACUCCAGCAGCGUCCCCGAUCACUUUCCCUCCCCGGCAAGUCUGCCGAAUUACAGUUUUUUGACGAGAUCGAUUUUGUAUGAAGUUUUGGGUGAUCUCGCCGGAAAACUGGAAUUUGGCGGACUCACCGAUGAGGGAAAGUGAUUGAGGACGUUGCUGGGGUGG
rnacentral:lncRNA from 1 species